rnacentral:rRNA from 1 species
UUGGUGAGGUAAAGGCUUACCAAGGCUUCGAUCAGUAGCUGGUCUGAGAGGACGACCAGCCACACUGGGACUGAGACACGGCCCAGACUCCUACGGGAGGCAGCAGUGGGGAAUUUUGGACAAUGGGGGAAACCCUGAUCCAGCCAUGCCGCGUGAGUGAAGAAGGCCUUCGGGUUGUAAAGCUCUUUCAGCCGGAACGAAACGGUCACGGUUAAUACCUGUGAUCACUGACGGUACCGGAAGAAGAAGCACCGGCUAACUACGUGCCAGCAGCCGCGGUAAUACGUAGGGUGCGAGCGUUAAUCGGAAUUACUGGGCGUAAAGCGUGCGCAGGCGGUUUUGUAAGUCAGAUGUGAAAUCCCCGGGCUCAACCUGGGAACUGCGUUUGAAUUCAAGGCUAGAA